AACAAACAAAAAGCAACAACAAAAAAAACACAGGUGGAAGAAUCAACAGCCGUGAUGUCUGGAUUUAUAACUCACAGUUAAAUAUUUGGAUCAGAGUUGCCUCUCUCAAUAAAGGCAGAUGGCGUCACAAAAUGGCUGUCCUCCUUGGUAAAGUAUAUGUUGUCGGUGGCUAUGAUGGGCAAAACAGACUCAGCAGCGUAGAAUGUUAUGAUUCCUUUUCAAAUCGAUGGACUGAAGUUGCUCCCCUUAAGGAAGCCGUGAGUUCUCCUGCAGUGACUAGCUGUGUAGGCAAACUGUUUGUGAUUGGUGGAGGACCUGAUGAUAAUACUUGUUCUGAUAAGGUUCAAUCUUAUGAUCCAGAAACCAAUUCUUGGCUACUUCGUGCAGCUAUCCCAAUUGCCAAAAGGUGUAUAACAGCUGUAUCCCUAAACAACCUGAUCUAUGUUGCCGGUGGACUGACCAAGGCAAUAUACUGUUAUGAUCCAGUUGAAGAUUACUGGAUGCACGUACAGAAUACAUUCAGCCGUCAG
rnacentral:sRNA from 1 species